UUGCAGCCAUGAAAUUAAAAGACGCUUGCUCUUUUCCCCAUGGGGGCCCAGUGUGCAAUGGCUGCAAACAGCAGCCUCCUUGGUAGUGUAUGCAACCUGUUGCCUGUACAGUUAGCCCUAAGGGACCUUGGAGACAACU